UACGGAAGGUCCGGGCGUUAUCCGGAUUUAUUGGGUUUAAAGGGAGCGUAGGCCGGAGAUUAAGCGUGUUGUGAAAUGUAGACGCUCAACGUCUGCACUGCAGCGCGAACUGGUUUCCUUGAGUACGCACAAAGUGGGCGGAAUUCGUGGUGUAGCGGUGAAAUGCUUAGAUAUCACGAAGAACUCCGAUUGCGAAGGCAGCUCACUGGAGCGCAACUGACGCUGAAGCUCGAAAGUGCGGGUAUCGAACAGGAUUAGAAACCCCAGUAAUCCGCUAGAC
rnacentral:rRNA from 1 species